UGAGGGAUAUUGGUCAAUGGGGGAAACCCUGAACCAGCAACGCCGCGUGAGGGAUGACGGCCUUCGGGUUGUAAACCUCUGUCCUCUGUGAAGAUAAUGACGGUAGCAGAGGAGGAAGCUCCGGCUAACUACGUGCUAGCAGCCGCGGUAAUACGUAGGGAGCGAGCGUUGUCCGGAUUUACUGGGUGUAAAGGGUGCGUAGGCGGAUCUGCAAGUCAGUAGUGAAAUCCCAGGGCUUAACCCUGGAACUGCUAUUGAAACUGUGGGUCUUGAGUGAGGUAGAGGCAGGCGGAAUUCCCGGUGUAGCGGUGAAAUGCGUAGAGAUCGGGAGGAACACCAGUGGCGAAGGCGGCCUGCUGGGCCUUAACUGACGCUGAGGCACGAAAGCAUGGGUAGCAAACAGGAUUAGAUACC
rnacentral:rRNA from 1 species